rnacentral:rRNA from 1 species
GACGAACGCUGGCGGCGUGCCUAAUACAUGCAAGUAGAACGCUGAAGGAGGAGCUUGCUUCUCCGGAUGAGUUGCGAACGGGUGAGUAACGCGUAGGUAACCUGCCUGGUAGCGGGGGAUAACUAUUGGAAACGAUAGCUAAUACCGCAUAACAGUAGAUAUUGCAUGAUAUCUGCUUGAAAGGUGCAAUUGCAUCACUACCAGAUGGACCUGCGUUGUAUUAGCUAGUUGGUGGGGUAACGGCUCACCAAGGCGACGAUACAUAGCCGACCUGAGAGGGUGAUCGGCCACACUGGGACUGAGACACGGCCCAGACUCCUACGGAAGGCAGCAGUAGGGAAUCUUCGGCAAUGGACGGAAGUCUGACCGAGCAACGCCGCGUGAGUGAAGAAGGGUUUCGGAUCGUAAAGCUCUGUUGUAAGAGAAGAACGAGUGUGAGAGUGGAAAGUUCACACUGUGACGGUAUCUUACCAGAAAGGGACGGCUAACUACGUG